rnacentral:rRNA from 1 species
AAAUUGAAGAGUUUGAUCAUGGCUCAGAUUGAACGCUGGCGGCAGGCCUAACACAUGCAAGUCGAGCGGUAGCACAGAAGAGCUUGCUCUUUGGGUGACGAGCGGCGGACGGGUGAGUAAUGUCUGGGAAACUGCCUGAUGGAGGGGGAUAACUACUGGAAACGGUAGCUAAUACCGCAUAACCUCGCAAGAGCAAAGAGGGGGACCUUCGGGCCUCUCGCCAUCAGAUGUGCCCAGAUGGGAUUAGCUAGUAGGUGAGGUAAUGGCUCACCUAGGCGACGAUCCCUAGCUGGUCUGAGAGGAUGACCAGCCACACUGGAACUGAGACACGGUCCAGACUCCUACGGGAGGCAGCAGUGGGGAAUAUUGCACAAUGGGCGCAAGCCUGAUGCAGCCAUGCCGCGUGUGUGAAGAAGGCCUUCGGGUUGUAAAGCACUUUCAGCGAGGAGGAAGGCGGUAAGGUUAAUAACCUUAUCGAUUGACGUUACUCGCAGAAGAAGCACCGGCUAACUCCGUGCCAGCAGCCGCGGUAAUACGGAGGGUGCAAGCGUUAAUCGGAAUGACUGGGCGUAAAGCGCACGCAGGCGGUCUGUUAAGUUGGAUGUGAAAUCCCCGGGCUUAACCUGGGAACUGCAUUCAAAACUGACAGGCUAGAGUCUUGUAGAGGGGGGUAGAAUUCCAGGUGUAGCGGUGAAAUGCGUAGAGAUCUGGAGGAAUACCGGUGGCGAAGGCGGCCCCCUGGACAAAGACUGACGCUCAGGUGCGAAAGCGUGGGGAGCAAACAGGAUUAGAUACCCUGGUAGUCCACGCUGUAAACGAUGUCGAUUUGGAGGUUGUGCCCUUGAGGCGUGGCUUCCGGAGCUAACGCGUUAAAUCGACCGCCUGGGGAGUACGGCCGCAAGGUUAAAACUCAAAUGAAUUGACGGGGGCCCGCACAAGCGGUGGAGCAUGUGGUUUAAUUCGAUGCAACGCGAAGAACCUUACCUACUCUUGACAUCCAGAGAAUUAGCUAGAGAUAGCUGAGUGCCUUCGGGAACUCUGAGACAGGUGCUGCAUGGCUGUCGUCAGCUCGUGUUGUGAAAUGUUGGGUUAAGUCCCGCAACGAGCGCAACCCUUAUCCUUUGUUGCCAGCGAUUCGGUCGGGAACUCAAAGGAGACUGCCGGUGAUAAACCGGAGGAAGGUGGGGAUGACGUCAAGUCAUCAUGGCCCUUACGAGUAGGGCUACACACGUGCUACAAUGGCGUAUACAAAGAGAAGCGACCUCGCGAGAGCAAGCGGACCUCAUAAAGUACGUCGUAGUCCGGAUUGGAGUCUGCAACUCGACUCCAUGAAGUCGGAAUCGCUAGUAAUCGUAGAUCAGAAUGCUACGGUGAAUACGUUCCCGGGCCUUGUACACACCGCCCGUCACACCAUGGGAGUGGGUUGCAAAAGAAGUAGGUAGCUUAACCUUCGGGAGGGCGCUUACCACUUUGUGAUUCAUGACUGGGGUGAAGUCGUAACAAGGUAACCGUAGGGGAACCUGCGGUUGGAUCACCUCCUUACCAAAAAGA